rnacentral:lncRNA from 1 species
AUGGCUUGGUUUUUGCAGAUCCCUACGGAGGAUACUAUAGAGGCAGGAUGUCUCAAAGCGAGACGGAGAGGAGACACGAAUGCGACAUUUGCGGGGCAAGCUACAAGAACUACCGCCAUCUUGUCGACCACAAGAAAUCUCACACCUCCAAGACCUACUGCUACCUCUGUCACAAGAACCUGUCCACCGUCUCGCAUCUCAAGGUCAAGCGACGGACGGCUACCGUCUGACAGAUCCGGGGAAGAAGUUCUCGUGCAGAAUCUGUGGCUACUCGUACGCCAACGCCAACAGCCUGAGCAAGCACAGGAAGUCGCACACCGGUCAGACUGUCUGCAGGAUCUGCCGCAAAAUGUCCUCGACCUACCCCAACCUUCGCAGGCACAUGCUCAUGAUUCACAACAUAGCCGAGUAAUGUAGCGCAGAAAUCGCUCAAAAAGUUCCGAGUUUUCCACUCGAUGUUGAUCGGGUUUCUUCCAUCAAGCUCCAUUUAUGUUUGAAGCCUAAUAGCAUUCUUUCAAUUUUCCAAGUGUGUCAACGUGAUUUAUCCUUAAAAUUGUCAUAUUUUUUUUUUCGUUUUGAUAUAAAGACUAUUUUGAGUUACUAGUUUCUUAUCUUUGGCCUUAUUUUUUGGUAGAGUCUUUAUCCAAACUGCUGAAAAUAUAAAUUCUGCACGUAGUCACCAUUGUGGUAAACGGGUUUUUCCAUCUACACAUCGUCGCGUCGCGUCGCUCCACGGGCGUAAGGGCGUACCUCGAUUUCCGCAUGAUCCCUUGAACGCAUGAAUUAAUAUGUAAACAAGGCUCACGUGGAAAAUGAGUUACGCCCUUACGUUAGAGGACCCAACGAUAUGUGUUUCUCAAAUUAGUAGCAUAUAGCUCUGAAAUUAUGAAACACCAUUUGAACUAAUUUUUGCAUUAAGGAACUGGUAUUUUUGGCUACUUUUGGGGCAGCAUUUCUGGCAACUAUUUUCCUAUACGGAUGCGUACUAUUACGGAUGAGCCCGAAAUAGUAUUUUCUUAUCGCAAAAUGUCGUCCAUUCGUAAGGAAACUAGAGAGGAUUAUCUACUUCGGUCCGAGAUAUGUGUAGCACUGCUUUCUUUGCCAUUUGGAGUGCGUGUUGCUAUAAAGAACCACUAUUUGUAGCUUUUCCAAAAAAUCAUAUUUCUGCCCUGGGAAACCUAUGGCACAUAUGCUGUUUUAAAAAUGAGCCAAAAAUAGUGGUUCCCUAUUGCAAAAUGUGGUCUAUUUAUGACAGCCUUUGAGCACGAAGUAUAAAAAUUUGUCUCAAUUAUGAAUUCAAACUUUCUCCAAAAAGGCUAAUAGAUUUUUUACUUCAUUCCCCAAUUCAAUAAGAUUCCUGUUGUAUACAAGCGUCCAAUGGAGAUGUUGCAUGUGUGAAGAAUUUGCGAUUUGACUGUUGAUUCUUAUGUAAAAGUUCGCGAGAACCACGAUGGUGCCACUGGUUUUCUUAGACUUCAACUCCCAAGCUCAAAAAAAGCUCUCAAGUUUGAGCUCCUCAAAAUGGAGGGGACAUCCCACGCUACCCUGAGAGUCCACUUCUACAUCAAGAAAAACUCUCCAUGCAAAGACAGGGAGCAAAUACAUUAGCAGGGUUGCCGUAUUUUCAGUUUUAGAGUCCCCAAAUAAGGUGGCAGCCCUGUCAAUGUAUUUGCUCCCUAUCUUCGCAUGGAAAGUUUGUCUUGACGUAGACGUGGACUCUCAGAGUAGGGUGGGAUAUCCCCUCCAUUUUGGCCUCAACUUGAGAGCUUUUUUGAGCUUGGGAGUUGAUUUCAGGGAAAACCAGUGGCACCAUCGUGUUUCUCGCGAACUUUUACAUAAGAAUCAAUUGUCAAAUCGCAAAUUCCUCACUCAUGCACGUCUCCAUUAAGCCAAGGAAAACAGCAAUGACCUGGAUUUAACCGGAUUGGUUCUCCGUUCCUGUUCACAGGUUCGUUAUCCGUAAGUCCCGGGUCCAAGGAGCGUUCCCCUUCCAGUCGAGGCCGAGCGGGGACGAAAAAGCACUCGUGCCAGAUUUGCGGUCAGUCCUACGUUAACCUGUGCAGUCUCGUGAGGCACAUGGACUACCACACCGGCGUCACCCUCUGCAAAUUGUGCGGCAAAACCUUCUCCACCAACAACAACAUGCAGCGCCACGUCUUGCUCGUCCACAAUCGGCUUCUCGAACAGUAGACAUGGUUCCAUAGCUGAAAUGAAAAAUAGCGAUUUCCGUGAAAUAUUUCAUGAAAUUUCACACAAUUGUGGGAAAUAUGAAACAUCACGGAAAAAAAGAGCACGGGGUUGUUGGAUGACAUAGACAUUUCCAAUUGGAUGUCUUUAUGCUAAAAGGAACUAUGUAUAUAGGAUUUGCAUGUAACAUAGUUUCUUUUAGAAUAAAUACGUCCAAGAGGUCCGAGAGAUAAUGGGCGUUGAAGGGACGAUUGUGCACGAUAUCAUGACCAAGCAAUUGGUAUGGUAUGGGCAUGUGCAGAGAAUGACUGAUACCAGGUUGCCGAAGAAGGUGUUGGAGUGGGUCCCCCCAGGUAGGCGACGGAGAGGGUCCAGCCGAACGGUGGGUAGAGGGCAUCCGUGAAGAGAUGGAGAGAUGCCAGCUUCCGGAGGAUCUCUACCGUGACAGAUACCUGUGGAGAGUACCUAGGCGUCGCAGAGCGCCCUAGCGCGCCGUGAAAGCGGCUCAUACAUACAUACCUACGUCCAAUUUAUGGUUGUAGUACCUAAACGAACCCAAAUGUUGCGGGAGUACCCCAUCUUGAGUUGCGGUAACCUCACAAUUGGACGUAUUUCUGUCAAACGGAACUAUGUGCAUUAUGACAUAAGCCCUGAGACUCAUAAGAAUAUAUACACAUAAUGCUUAUUGUUCCGUUCGGCAGAAAUACGUCCAAUCAAUGUAAAAUGUCCAUAUCAUCCAACAAAUUUCGGUCGUACCAUAAUUUUAGGGGUCAACUCCUAACACUUUUUUUCCGUGAUACCUAUUUUUAGGGACCGAGUAUGCAACUUACAGUAAGAAAUACUAAUAAGGGAAAAUCAGUUGUCUCUCAUUUAAUUUUGCAAUUAAUUUUGAAAAAUAUCUCUUAUCAUCUUUCGAAUUUUUCUGAAAUUUCAUGAAAUAUUUCACAUGAAAUUUCAAGAUUUCAUUUUCACGAAAAAUGCAACCCUGACAAUAGAUCGCACCUUUAAUCAUGAUCGCAAUCGUAGAAUAUUUUAGGAAUAACGACCACCCUAUAUCUUCAAGUCUUCGAGAAUCGAUAAAUGUUGUGUUUUAGUAUCGUCCGUAGAGUUGAACUGAUCAUUGAAAUUGAUAGACAAAGCGAUAGAAUGAUGGACCAAAUAUCGGGUCUUUCAAGGAUUGUCGUCAGCUAGGUCCAUCACUUCACCGGUAGGUUUGUUAUAGCGUCCCCUUAUCUUCUUUGUUUAUACCUUUGUCUAUCAGUUCCAAUGAUGAACCCACACAGUUCGAAUAUAAAGCGUCCACCCGACUCGGCGUUUUUUCUUUUUUCGCGAGAGAGUGAUCGUUAAAAAAUGAAUAUAUAAUAAAACUCGUAAAAGAAAAGUAAAACAUCUUUAAAUACUUAAAAUACAUGCAGUUACUAGGAAUCUUUUUUUGUUUGCAUAUAAAAAAUUUCAACUUAACAAGUCCACUUUUGCGACGUUUUUAUCACUUUUUUCUAAGUAAUUUGAGCAAAAGUGUUUUGUUAUGUAUACCGCAUAUUUUGCAGUCUACUUUACUUUUUGCAUUAAUAAUAUAAUCGACUCUUAGACUAUAACAACAUUUUAAAUUUAUUUUCAUUACUUUUUUUAAGUACUCGUACAUAAAUCACAUGCACUUUGCCUUUAAAAAGCAAACGGGGUCUACUUAUUAGUAUAUUUUACCGUUUUUUUACGUGUUUUUUUUUUCAAAUUCAACAGUCAAUUUUCAACUUAAUGGUAAAUUUCAAGCAUAAUGGUGAAACACACCUUCAGUCAAUCAUCAGCGAUUUAAAACCUCGCUUUAGCUGUCCGAGUAAUGUAAAAUGGUGAACCAGGAUUUCUUAUUUUCGGCAAUGUCGCACGUAUUGUAGGAAAAUAAACACGCUUAAAAUUUUUUAUGGUGCACUUUUUAUAGACUCAAGAAAAUGGGGGAAAAAGGAUGAGCACACAGACUUCUACUUCAAGAUUCGUAGCAUCUAAAAAUCAUUCCACGAAUGAAAUUUACGCAAUUUUAGGGGGGGGGUGCGAUUAUUUUUAUAAGCUCUACAUUACAAUGUUUCAUAAUAAAUAUAUUUUAUUUGUUAACCGAUAUCUUCGUUCUUCAUUUCUAGUACAAACAUUAAUUCAUCCGUCCCAUGAUUUUUUCCGAUAGCGUUUUGUCUGCCUCAGCAAUCACUGAAGAAUCCCGCCUUAAUUUUGAGAACUUUUGCCCGCGAGCUCAGAAACCUCAAUAAGAAAUAUCUAGAUACCCCGUCGAAUGUAAGAACUUUAGAAUUGAAUAUUAUUGAUGAUUUGAUAAAAUCCUUUUCCUGUGUUCGGAUCAUGUUGAUUGAUACCGAUAAUCCAAUAAUUCUUACUGUAAUCGUUGCGCCGUCAACAUAGCAGAUACCCUUCAAACGCCACACUGUUACUCGUAGGUCCUGAUGUGCCAAUUUCAUACUGCUCUUACCGGAAUGUAGACACACCGUGUUCUAUAGCGAGCAUGCAUAUAGCGUUCAUAUAUCGCGAGCUUACGCCUCGCGUCAACGCGCCUUCAAUUUUGCAGAUGCAGCAUGGACAUCCUUCAACCACGAACAGUCGUAUCUCUACGCCGUCAUCAACGCUCGUCCCUUUCCUUGCUGUUUUUCGAUGUUGGGUCGAUUUCGUUUAGCUACG